rnacentral:misc_RNA from 1 species
GUAAAUUCAUUGAUGGAACUGACUCUUUUCGUGAUUCAAGAUUCAAAUUGAUUCCAAGCAUUAGAGAGGGAUACUGGAUGGUUAAGCGUGCCGUUGGAACUAAAGCUUGCCUUCUGGGGAAGGCAGUAACGUGCAAGUACCUUCGACAAGAUAACUUUCUUGAGAUUGAUGUGGACAUCGGCUCUUCAUCUGUGGCAAGAGGUGUUAUUGGUCUUGUACUGGGCUAUGUGACAAGCCUUGUCGUUGAUCUUGCUAUUCUAGUUGAGGCAAAAGAAGAGGCUGAACUCCCUGAAUACAUUCUUGGAACUGUUAGAUUAAAUCGCGUAAAGGUCGAUUCUGCUGUACCAUUGGAGGGUUGAUGAGUCUUUUGUUAGUAAGUGUCAUUAAUCGCCUUUGAAAUCGAAUA